GAUGAACGCUGGCGGCGUGCCUAAUACAUGCAAGUCGAGCGAACAGACGAGGAGCUUGCUCCUCUGACGUUAGCGGCGGACGGGUGAGUAACACGUGGAUAACCUACCUAUAAGACUGGGAUAACUUCGGGAAACCGGAGCUAAUACCGGAUAAUAUAUUGAACCGCAUGGUUCAAUAGUGAAAGACGGCUUUGCUGUCACUUAUAGAUGGAUCCGCGCCGCAUUAGCUAGUUGGUAAGGUAACGGCUUACCAAGGCAACGAUGCGUAGCCGACCUGAGAGGGUGAUCGGCCACACUGGAACUGAGACGCGGUCCAGACUCCUACGGGAGGCAGCAGUAGGGAAUCUUCCGCAAUGGGCGAAAGCUUGACGGAGCAACGCCGCGUGAGUGAUGAAGGUCUUCGGAUCGUGAAACUCGGUUAUUAGGGGAGAACAAAUGUGUAAGUGACUAUACACUUCUUGACGGUACCUAAUCAGAAAGCCACGGCUAACUACGUG
rnacentral:rRNA from 1 species